AUUCAUCUGACCAGUCCCAAGUAGGACGAAACGCGCGUCCUGAAU
rfam:Schistosoma haematobium scaffold1471_7, whole genome shotgun sequence.